GUUCAUUUGAGUUCAUUUUCAUCCCGUGUAUUAGGUCCCUUAUUUGACGUUUCAAAAAUGAACCGCUCCUGCCUGGUUUAUUUAACUCUGCCGUGAUAAAA